GGGGCGCCCGAACGAAGAGUUUGAUCCUGGCUCAGGAUGAACGCUGGCGGCGUGCCUAACACAUGCAAGUCGAACGGUUAAGGCGGCUUCGGCCGCGGAUAAAGUGGCGAACGGGUGAGUAACGCGUGACCGACCUUCCCCCCGCACCGGGACAACCGCGGGAAACCGCGGCUGAUACCGGGUACUCCGGGGCCUUCGCAUGGGGGCCCCGGGAAAGCUCCGGCGGCGGGGGAUGGGGUCGCGUCCCAUCAGGUAGUAGGCGGGGCAACGGCCCACCUAGCCGACGACGGGUAGCCGGGUUGAGAGACCGACCGGCCACAUUGGGACUGAGAUACGGCCCAGACUCCUACGGGAGGCAGCAGUGGGGAAUUUUGCGCAAUGGGGGCAACCCUGACGCAGCAACGCCGCGUGCGGGACGACGGCCUUCGGGUUGUAAACCGCUUUCAGCAGGGAAGAACCUCUGACGGUACCUGCAGAAGAAGCCCCGGCUAACUACGUGCCAGCAGCCGCGGUAAUACGUAGGGGGCGAGCGUUAUCCGGAAUGAUUGGGCGUAAAGCGCGCGCAGGCGGCCGCUCAAGCGGGACCUCUAACCCCGGGGCUCAACCCCGGGCCGGGUCCCGAACUGGGCGGCUCGAGUGCGGUAGGGGAGAGCGGAAUUCCAAGUGUAGCGGUGAAAUGCGCAGAUAUUUGGAAGAACACCGAUGGCGAAGGCAGCUCUCUGGGCCGUCACUGACGCUGAGGCGCGAAAGCCGGGGGAGCGAACAGGAUUAGAUACCCUGGUAGUCCCGGCCGUAAACGAUGGGCGCUAGGUGUGGGGAAACAUUUUCUCCGUGCCGCAGCCAACGCAUUAAGCGCCCCGCCUGGGGAGUACGGCGGCAACGCUAAAACUCAAAGGAAUUGACGGGGGCCCGCACAAGCAGCGGAGCAUGUGGCUUAAUUCGAAGCAACGCGAAGAACCUUACCAGGGCUUGACAUCCGGGUGAAGCGGCGGAGACGCCGUGGCCGAGAGGAGCCCGGACAGGUGGUGCAUGGCUGUCGUCAGCUCGUGCCGUGAGGUGUUGGGUUAAGUCCCGCAACGAGCGCAACCCCCGUCGCGUGUUGCCAGCAGGUCAAGCUGGGCACUCGCGCGAGACUGCCGGCGUCAAGCCGGAGGAAGGUGGGGACGACGUCAAGUCAUCAUGCCCCUUAUGCCCUGGGCUGCACACGUGCUACAAUGGCCGGCACAACGGGUUGCGACCCCGCGAGGGGGAGCGGAUCCCUCAAAGCCGGCCCCAGUUCGGACCGCAGGCUGCAACCCGCCUGCGCGAAGCCGGAGUUGCUAGUAAUCGCGGAUCAGCACGCCGCGGUGAAUACGUUCCCGGGCCUUGUACACACCGCCCGUCACACCACCCGAGUCGUCUGCACCCGAAGCCGCCGGCCGAACCCUUCUAGGGGCGGAGGCGUCGAAGGUGUGGAGGGUGAGGGGGGUGAAGUCGUAACAAGGUAGCCGUACCGGAAGGUGCGGCUGGAUCACCUCCUUUCUAGGGAGAGCAUCUUGCAGGGGCCCGCGCGCAUCCUACCCCAUCCUCGGCAUCCGGCCUCCAGGGCUCCCGGAC
rnacentral:rRNA from 1 species